rnacentral:rRNA from 1 species
GCUAACCAACUAGCUUAUUUACUUAAAUUAAAAAUACUUAUUAAUAAUUUAUUAAAGCCUUAAAUUUUAAAUUAAACCAUUUUUCUACUUUAGUACGGGAGACGGAAAAAGUCAUUUUGAAGCAAUAGAAAAAGUACCGCAAGGGAAAGCUGAAAAAGAAAUGAAACAAAUCAUAAACAGCACAAGAAAGCAGAGACUAAACCUCGUACCUUUUGCAUCAUGAUUUAGCAAGCACCUAACAAGCAAAGAGACCUUUAGUUUGAAACCCCGAAACCAAGUGAGCUACCCCGAGACAGCCUAUAGUGGGCCAACCCGUCUCUGUGGCAAAAGAGUGGGAAGAUCUCCGGGUAGAGGUGACAGACCUACCGAACUUGGUGAUAGCUGGUUGCCUGAGAAACGAAUAGAAGUUCAGCCUCAUAUUUCCUUUUAUCAAAUAAGCAAUAGCUAAACUAGAGUGAAGAAAAUUACGAGAGUUAGUUAAAAGGGGUACAGCCCGUUUAACUAAGGAUACAACCUUUUCAGGAGGAUAAGGAUUAUAAUAUUCAAGAUCUAUUGUUUCAGUGGGCCUAAAAGCAGCCAUCUGUGCAGAAAGCGUUAAAGCUUAGACAACAAAAAAUCUAUUAUUUUAAUAACAAGUCCUAAUCCCCUAAAAGUACCAGGCCACUCCAUGCUUACAUGGAAGAGACCAUGCUAAAAUGAGUAUCAAGAGAAUACCCUUCUCUCCCCACAUAAGUGUAAGUCAGAUCGGACCAACCACUGACAUUUAACGAACCCAAAAGAGGGCAUCAUAACUAUUAUAUUAACCAAGAAAAACCUAUGCACCUUAAUCGUUAACCCCACACUGGAGUGAACAAAGGAAAGACAAAAAGAAAAGGAAGGAACUCGGCAAACACAAGCCUCGCCUGUUUACCAAAAACAUCGCCUCCUGCAAACUUCUAAGUAUAGGAGGUCCAGCCUGCCCAGUGACCACAAGUUCAACGGCCGCGGUAUUUUGACCGUGCAAAGGUAGCGCAAUCACUUGUCUUUUAAAUGAAGACCUGUAUGAAUGGCUAAACGAGGGCUUAACUGUCUCCCUUUUCAAGUCAGUGAAAUUGAUCUGCCCGUGCAGAAGCGGACAUAAAAAUACAAGACGAGAAGACCCUUUGGAGCUUUAGGUACAAGUUCAGCCGCGUUAAACAGCUUUACAAAAAGAAUAUAAACCUAGCAGAAAAAUGAAACUUUACCUUCGGUUGGGGCGACCACGGAGAAAAAAUAAUCCUCCGAGUGGACAGGGAUAAUCUAUCCUAAAGCUAAGAAAGACAUUUCUAAGCCACAGAAAAUCUGACCAAAUAUGAUCCGGUUCACAUAACCGAUCAACGGACCAAGUUACCCUAGGGAUAACAGCGCAAUCCUCUUCCAGAGUCCAUAUCGACGAGAGGGUUUACGACCUCGAUGUUGGAUCAGGACAUCCUAAUGGUGUAGCCGCUAUUAAGGGUUCGUUUGUUCAACGAUUAAAGUCCUACGUGAUCUGAGUUCAGACCGGAGUAAUCCAGGUCAGUUUCUAUCUGUAACGUUACUCUUCCUAGUACGAAAGGACCGGAAAAGAGAGGCCCAUGCUAAAAGCAUGCCUCACCCAUAAUUAAUGAGACCAACUCAAUUAAAUAAGUGGGAACCUUAUAAACAGGCCAAGAUAAAGCCAU